CAGAGGGUGCAAACGUUGUUCGGAAUUACUGGGCGUAAAGCGCGUGUAGGCGGCCCUGCAAGUCGGAUGUGAAAUCCCACGGCUCAACCGUGGAAGUGCAUUCGAAACUGCAGGGCUAGAGUCCUGGAGAGGAAGGUGGAAUGCUUGGUGUAGAGGUGAAAUUCGUAGAUAUCAAGCGGAACACCGGUGGCGAAGGCGGCCUUCUGGACAGUGACUGACGCUGAGACGCGAAAGCGUGGGGAGCAAACAGGAUUAGAUACCCUGGUAGUCCACGCCGUAAACGAUGAGUGCUAGGUGUCACGGGCUUUGACCCUCGUGGUGCCGAAGCUAACGCGUUAAGCACUCCGCCUGGGGAGUACGGUCGCAAGACUA
rnacentral:rRNA from 1 species